rnacentral:rRNA from 1 species
AAUCAGGUAGGGCUACCCGCUGAACUUAAGCAUAUCAAUAAGCGGAGGAAAAGAAACUAACAAGGAUUCCCCUAGUAACGGCGAGUGAAGCGGGAAGAGCUCAAAUUUGUAAUCUGGCGUCCCCCGGGCGUCCGAGUUGUAAUCUAUAGAAGCGUUUUCUGUGCCGGAUCGUGUCCAAGUCCCUUGGAACAGGGUAUCAAAGAGGGUGACAAUCCCGUGCUUGACACGACGACCGGUGCUGUGUGAUACGCUCUCUACGAGUCGAGUUGUUUGGGAAUGCAGCUCAAAACGGGUGGUAAAUUCCAUCUAAGGCUAAAUACUGGCGAGAGACCGAUAGCGAACAAGUACCGUGAGGGAAAGAUGAAAAGCACUUUGGAAAGAGAGUUAAACAGUAUGUGAAAUUGUUGAAAGGGAAACAUGAGAAAUCCGUCG